rnacentral:rRNA from 1 species
UACAGAGGGUGCAAGCGUUGUUCGGAUUUACUGGGCGUAAAGCGCGUGUAGGCGGGUCGUUAAGUUUGGGGUGAAAUCCCGAGGCUCAACCUCGGAACUGCCUUCAAAACUGGCGACCUGGAGCAAAGAAGAGGCGAGUGGAAUUGCGAGUGUAGAGGUGAAAUUCGUAGAUAUUCGCAGGAACACCAGUGGCGAAGGCGACUCGCUGGUCUUUUGCUGACGCUGAGACGCGAAAGCGUGGGGAGCAAACAGG